AGUGAACGCUGGCGGUAGGCCUAACACAUGCAAGUCGAACGGCAGCACAGUAAGAGCUUGCUCUUACGGGUGGCGAGUGGCGGACGGGUGAGGAAUACAUCGGACUCUACUUUUUCGUGGGUGAUAACGUAGGGAAACUUACGCUAAUACCGCAUACGACCUACGGGUGAAAGCAGGGGAUCUUCGGACCUUGCGCGAUUGAAUGAGCCGAUGUCGGAUUAGCUAGUUGGCGGGGUAAAGGCCCACCAAGGCGAUGAUCCGUAGCUGGUCUGAGAGGAUGAUCAGCCACGCUGGAACUGAGACACGGUACAGACUCCUACGGGAGGAAGCAGUGGGGAAUAUUGGACAAUGGGCGCAAGCCGGAUCCAGCCAUACCGCGUGGGUGAAGAAGGCCUUCGGGUUGUAGAGCCCUUUUGUUGGGAAAGAAAAGCAGCAGGUUAAUACCCCGCUGUUCUGACGGUACCCAAAGAAUAAGCACCGGCUAACUUCGUG
rnacentral:rRNA from 1 species